AACAGGACCCCUAGGAGCCGGUCCCCCGCAUUUUACGUGCCCAGCCGAUGUGGGCUCCUCUCGCUGUUGGAUCUCGAGGUCCCCGCCGCCGUCUCCUGCAGCUUCUGCCCCGCCGCCUCAUCGCCCGAGCUCGCCGUCGCACCAACCUCGGCGCCGCGCCGCCGCCGGCUCUGGUCGCCUCCACCUCCGCUCCAGGCAACCCUCGGUCGCUGGCUCGCUGGAGCACGGCGGCAGACGAUGGAUGCCCUGGUUGUGUGCGACGGAUGCAGUUCUCACGCGCAAAGCUAGGGUUGGAGCCGCCAGCUCUUCAUCCUGCCCGCGGCGGCGAGUCUUCCCGUCCCGCACUGCCGCCUCCCCGUUAUCACAGAGGAGCGAUGAGGAAGGCGGCAAGCUCCAGCGGGCGACGGCCAUAGAUUGCGAUUUUUCUUCUGUCAAUUCUCCAUGAUCUAAACCAUUGCAUAUUCUGAAUAUAUGAAGUGUACUGAAUAUGGUUGAGAGAGUCCCUCCCAACUUUGUUGGGCAUUGGCGUAUUCUGAAUAAAAUAGAUGAAAAUUUAUGUAGUGACCUUGUACAAUAGGGUGGAAAGCUUUUUUAUAUUCAUUCAUGAUCACUAACAAAUUUAUGUAGUGUACUGUCCAGAUUUAGAAUUUAGAACUUAGAUGAUUAUACAUGCAAGCUAAUAAGAUGCCCAACCGGCGCUGUUCUGUCCUGCCAGAAGAUGGAAAGAAAGGGGAAGGGACUAGCAAUCCAAAGAAAAGGGGCAGAGAUUUGAAAAAGUAUUUUGAAUCAGGGGCAGGACCCAUGGGAGGGUGUGGUUGUGGGACGCAGCCACCCCCGUUGUCGCGGAACCCUAGGGCAGGGCAUGGUCGCGUUGCGGGAGUGGCGCAAGGCCGUGCCGGCCGUUCCUUACAUCAAGGAGGAACACAGGCAUUUACAUCUGACUCAAUAUGAUCGUCUCUUCUUGAUCUAUUUGUGUGUUCAACCGCCUCUUCUCUGAUCUAUUUGUGCGUUCAACUCACGCUAGAUACAAGCGGCACGGGGAGGGAGAUCUCCACGGUGGUGAUGGAGCGAAUGGGACGGAGGCAUUGGGGUCAGGGUGUAUGAAGUGGUCGGGGAAGUUCGAGACGGUGGAGUCGAUAAGGCCGUGUAUGCAUCAAAGACCUUGAGCUAGCCGGCGCAGUUGCCAUAACCGUUGUGUGCUUCCGUUGAAUCACGUUGGUAGUCUCAUCAAAGGUUCAUGAAAUCAUCAGGAUAAUUAGUAGAUUAAUGACUUGUCGCGGGAUUAACAUUGUUCAAGCUGGGAGUAUUGGCUUUGUUUUCUCACCUCUGGGAAUUAGAAAUGGAUGAGUACUGGGUAUACAUUGGAUACAUUGCAAACUGCGGAACUGAAGGAAACCUGCAUGGUAUUCAUGUUGGACCAUUUACAGGAUAUAGGUAUUCCUGAUGGAAUCUUGUAUGCCUUUGGUGAGCCUCACUAGCUAUUCAGUAUCCAAAGAAGGAUGGGAUAUCAAGCUGGACGCCCAUAUUCUUGAGAAAUAUUAAAUGGACUAACUCAGAUGAACACAAUAUUGUAUGAUGGUGACAUGCCUGUCGACUCUUUGGUCUUGGUGAUUAGAAGGCAUGAAGGACGUGAUCGAGCAAGUGAACAAGCAGUUUAAAGAUCCAGGGUCACCGAUUUCUGCUUCCCGCACGGUGCACAGACUCCUCCCGGACAAGCACAACGACUAAUACAUAUCACGUCCUGCCAGGAAAUAUUCUCCCGUUAUCCUUUUCCUUUUUUCCUUGGUAGUGUUAGAUAGAUUUGUAAAAAGACAGGAUCUAACACUUGGCUAUAUGAAUGUAUGAUGCAUGUUCUUGAAGGCCAAAAAGUUCAAUGUUGAGAAGACAUUGCAGAUGUGAGGAGACAUUGCGCUCAUUUUUCAAGCCAUUAUGAGGAACAGGGAACAAAUACUGCAGUUCAGAAUUUUGAUUUUAAGAUUUGGUCAUACAGUUCAUCCAGGUAAAAGUUGUAUGCCUGUUUGUUGUAGAGCUGUUUUAGCAGGUUGUUUUGCCACGCUGGCCUGGGCAUCGUUAGUUGCCGAGUAAAGUUUUGGCCUCCCGACCAAAACUCCACUGCUUUGGCCUCUCCAUCUAUGAUGAUGUGGCAUCUAACGCCCGCUUGACCAGAGAAUGUGCGAUGGCGAGCAGGUAGUACCCAUCCCGUUCACUCCCAAUGUUGGUAAAAUUUUGAUUUUUGGGAAGAUUGGGAUUGUUUGGCGUUGCGGUUAGGGUAGCGGCCAGAGGGGUUUGGGGCUGGCCGGCUGGAGUUUGAAAUCUCUGCCAUGUUCUGAUUAUGGCAUCUAUGCCAUUUACUCUUUAUGUCAUGUUUGACAUGUUGACUGUUUGAUCUUUGCCAUGUCCUGAUCAUGACAUAUGACAUUUACUAUAUGCUAGGAGGUGUAUGUCAUAUAUUUCUAUCAUGUUUGAUCCUUGCCAAGUUUUGAAAACAAUCAUGCUGAAUUACAUGCCAUUUUAGUCUGAAAACAAAGUAUAUUCAGUCUAAAAACAUAGUAUAUAUUCAGUCUAGAAACAGAGUACAUUCAGGUUGAACUUUGCUUUCCUAAGUGAAGGACACCAACUGACAUGUCAAGUGCUUCAUACUUUUUCUUUAUAUAUCAGAAACAAGGAGGACAGGAUUCGCAUGUUUUGGUACAACAUCUUGCUGCUGCCUUUUCGCCAUUAGUCAAGUGCUUCCUGAUGCCCAAUUCUUUUUUGGUUUUGCUAUAUUCAACCUUGUCUCUGAAAUUUUACAUAUUUCGGUGUUGCUGCUAUAUGCAGGGUAUAUACACUAGCUUCCAAAAGCAUUCUAACCACACUUAGAUGGAAAGUCUUCUACUACUAGCUUCUCAAUAGCGAAUUUGUGGGGUUGUCUCCAAGUUGAAUGGCAAUAGUACUAAGAUAGAUGGAUUAGACAUUAUCAAAAAUCAUAUACUGAGGCGUUCAUUUUCCUUGAGAUAGGCGGAAAGGUUCAAAUGGAAUAGCAAAAAAGCUUAUGGAGGAAAGGAAGGAACUUAUUGAUUGCUAGGGCUGCUGGUUGACGUAAUAUACAAUGUCUUCAAACCUUUUUCUGCAUACAUUCAAGCGCAUUUAGAGGAGGUCCUGCUGGGUGAUGGAGUACCUCUGCCGCCCAGGACCAGCGGCUAUGGCAACCCAGACGUUGGCCCCGUCAGGCCGCCGUUUGCCCCGCGCGGCGCUCCGGCGAGUCCGGAGUACGCCCCGCCUCUGUACCGCGACUACCGGUCGUCGUCCGGCAGCGUCCGCCACUGCCACUCUGCUGCUUACCACGAGUACAGGCUGUAGCAGGCGGAGCCGAGCGACUGACCGUGCGCCUAGCUUCAUCACCGCGCCUAACCUAACGAUCACCACCCGGACCAUGCCUGAUUAAGCAGGAAUUGAAUGGAACGGCUUUGCCGUGACGAUUGAUCGUUUUGGGGAUGUGAUAGUUUCCAUGCCGGCUUGUGAUGGAAAUGCUGUAGAUGUUUUACCGAACGCCUCCUUGACUGGAUGUUUUAGUAUCAGCCGAACGCUGUCUUCGACCCAGCUCUUCUACCUGGCUGGUUCAUUCCCCCUUCUUGAGUUUAUGUAAUAUUUUAAUAUUUUCAUUUAACUAUUAUUAGCUAUGUUGUUUGAAAAAGUACAAACCCUACGCACAAACCCCUUUUUUACGUAUGUCAAUUGUGUGCAG